rnacentral:lncRNA from 1 species
AGGGAUUCUCAAAAUAUGCUACUACUACAAAUAUGCUGCUACUACUACAACCACCACCACUUCUUACUCUCAGUGAUUCUCCAAAUAUGCUACUACUACAACCACCACCUCAACAUGUUUCCAGCGAUAAAGCUAAUAAUCCAUCACCACUGUCAGAACUUCAUGCAGGGGAUUAGCAAUCUAAACAUAGCUCAUAGUAGCUAUGCAAUCUUUGCUAGCACCGCUCUUUAUGAAAUUUGUAUGAACAGGAAAGUUUUGUUUGAUCUUUUACAAUGAUCAUAAUGAAAUAACCAAGCAGGCCUUGUACUGUCUCUUCUAAUGUUUGUUUCUAACUAAUUUCUUUUUUUGUUUAAUAGCAUAUGUA